rnacentral:rRNA from 1 species
CUACGGGACGCUACAGUGGGGAAUAUUGCACAAUGGGCGCAAGCCUGAUGCAGCCAUGCCGCGUGUAUGAAGAAGGCCUUCGGGUUGUAAAGUACUUUCAGCGGGGAGGAAGGGAGUAAAGUUAAUACCUUUGCUCAUUGACGUUACCCGCAGAAGAAGCACCGGCAAACUCCGUGCCAGCAGCCGCGGUAAUACGGAGGGUGCAAGCGUUAAUCGGAAUUACUGGGCGUAAAGCGCACGCAGGCGGGUUGUUAAGUCAGAUGUGAAAUCCCCGGGCUCAACCUGGGAACUGCAUCUGAUACUGGCAAGCUUGAGUCUCGUAGAGGGGGGUAGAAUUCCAGGUGUAGCGGUGAAAUGCGUAGAGAUCUGGAGGAAUACCGGUGGCGAAGGCGGCCCCCUGGACGAAGACUGACGCUCAGGUGCGAAAGCGUGGGGAGCAAACAGGAUUAGAUACCCGCGUAGUC